GAUGAACGCUGGCGGCGUGCCUAAUACAUGCAAGUCGAGCGAACGGACGAGAAGCUUGCUUCUCUGAUGUUAGCGGCGGACGGGUGAGUAACACGUGGAUAACCUACCUAUAAGACUUGGAUAACUUCGGGAAACCGGAGCUAAUACCGGAUAAUAUUUUGAACCGCAUGGUUCAAAAGUGAAAGACGGUCUUUCUGUCACUUAUAGAUGGAUCCGCGCUGCAUUAGCUAGUUGGUAAGGUAACGGCUUACCAAGGCAACGAUGCAUAGCCGACCUGAGAGGGUGAUCGGCCACACUGGAACUGAGACACGGUCCAGACUCCUACGGGAGGCAGCAGUAGGGAAUCUUCCGCAAUGGGCGAGAGCAUGACGGAGCAACGCCGCGUGAGUGAUGAAGGUCUUCGGAUAGUAAAACUCUGUUAUUAGGGAAGAACAUAUGUGUAAGUAACUGUGCACAUAUUGACGGUACCUAAUCAGAAAGCCACGGCUAACUACGUG
rnacentral:rRNA from 1 species